UCGAGGAUCUUCGGCAAUGGGCGCAAGCCUGACCGAGCGACGCCGCGUGGGCGACGAAGGCCUUCGGGUUGUAAAGCCCUGUCGGGGGGGAGGAAAGCCGCAAGGUCUGACCUAUCCCCGGAGGAAGCACGGGCUAAGUUCGUGCCAGCAGCCGCGGUAAGACGAACCGUGCGAACGUUGUUCGGAAUCACUGGGCUUAAAGGGCGCGUAGGCGGGCCACCAAGUCCGCGGUGAAAUCCCCCGGCUCAACCGGGGAGCGGCCGUGGAGACUGGGGGUCUAGAGGCGGGUAGGGGCGAGCGGAACUCUGGGUGGAGCGGUGAAAUGCGUUGAUAUCCAGAGGAACUCCGGUGGCGAAGGCGGCUCGCUGGACCUGAUCUGACGCUGAGGCGCGAAAGCCAGGGGAGCGAACGGGAUUAGAUACCCCCGUAGUCC
rnacentral:rRNA from 1 species